AGCUCUAGGUCAUUCUGUCUAUUCAGAAUGACACUCUGUCCAGUGUCUAUUCUGGUCUAUCUCUAGGUCAGAGACACAGGCAGAGUCAGCCCUCUGAGUAACAGUACAGAAGGCAGUAAUGACAAAGUCCAAGGCUCUGAAAAUGCAGCCCCAAGUCUACGCAGUUGGAUCCUCUCCUUUGUUGGGAAAAGGUGAGUGUUAAAGAGGCCUCAAUCAACUACGGCAGAUUCAGAGGCCAGUAACCCACCUCCUAGAGCCCUGGCCACCACCUCUCAGCUGACGUGGGACACUAUGGGGUAUGAGCUGGCAGACUGGCAAGGGCAUGCUGCGUUUCACUGCUCGACAAUUUUUUCUCUCCUGGACUAACAGCAGAAGUUCGGCAUAAACAAGUAGUAUGGGCCAGAACCAUUCACCAUCUCUGAUGGCAAGAACUCUUGAAAAAUCAUCAACAAAAGCAUAUUCACAGGAAACUCGGGUGUACUUACAGGAGGUAUCAUCCAACCAUUCGAUGUGAGCUGGAGGAUAUUCUUUAAAAUAGGAAAAGACAUCUUGGGUGCUCAUCUCAUCUACUCCGCAAAUAUAGAUUGUCUCCAGUCUCACCUUGGGGAUUGCUAGAAAGACAAGACACAGAAAAGAUGAUAGAAUUUUCCUGUCCGCAACUGCACAUCCCAUCCACACUCCUUCCUAAUAGUUCAGACAACACGAGUUUAGAAAGAAACAUGCUGAGAGAAACUAUAAUUAUUUCAAAAGAGCACGAGACAUAACAGUAAGGUAAACUAUCUUAAUUUUUAUCACUCAACGACAGCAUUAAUUCAGAACAGGCCUAUCAGGCUCAGAAAGAUUAAACAAAGGGUGUUGAUAAAAUACACGAUACCUCUCCCCACAUUAAUCUGUAGCAAUCAGAGCACUAUCAAGCUCAACAGGAGUAUUUGUUGAAGUUAGCCAGCUGCUUCUAAAAUUUUUAAAUGUAUGUUAAAGAGAAACGCGCAGUAGUGGAGACAAUUCUGAAAGAGAAGAGAUGCUGCCCGUGACUAUGUCAAAGCAUGAAACUAAA
rnacentral:lncRNA from 10 species